UCCUUGCGCACAGCGUUGGCGUGGAGUCGGCAUCGCCAUCUUGAGCUAGGUGCCUUGUGCAGCAUAUCUCCACCAGGCUGCUGGCCGAAGUGCCCUAUUGCUCGAAGUGGUUCUUUGCUGGGAACACCAAUCCCAUGUGUUAGGUGUGAGGCCUCUGCUCACUGUCCAUGACAGGCAAAUGAAACUAGACUAACCGCAGAGGAAUAGUCAUCACAGAUAAUGUUACUAAAAAGAGUGCAGUUUUGAAAACAAUUAUUCCAGAUAUUUCAACUUAGACACUCUAAGAAAAUGUUUUAAAAGGUAUUGGAAGUCUAAGAAAGCAAAAAAGGAAAUGCUGAGACUAAAGUAUGAGUGUCCAUUCUCAGCUUCUGCCAGCAGGAUUAAAAUCUCUUCUUAGCCCUAUCUUACUCCAGCUUGUUUUCACCUCAGGAGGCCAUAAAUACCUCGACAAAACUGUAAACUUCCAAAGAAGGACAGGGCUUGAGGUUGUAUUAUGCAUGGUUUUACAGAGCUUUGUGGAUCAACUGAAGUUCAGAAAGACUGUAGUGAAGAAAAAUUUGCUUUUGGUCAAGAAGAUGGGAUUCAAAGAUAACUGCUAAUGGCCUGCAGGAGCAUGCUCACAGCCAAGGUGCCUUCUGAACCCUUUCAGUUCACUGUUUUCUGGAAAUCUUUUGAAGUUUCAACUACCUGGUCUUUGUUGCAAAAGCUCCUGCUAUCCUGGCUCCUCCCUUCAGACUAGUCUCUUAGAGCUAACUGGGAGGUUGUGUCCCAGCUUAAGUCCUCAGUUUUAUCUGCCAAAUGAAAGGUAAAUCUCAACUUUUGGGCUGUGCAUUUUUUUCAACGAGACAAAUCAUCAUUUAA